rnacentral:rRNA from 1 species
GAUGAACGCUGGCGGCGUGCCUAAUACGUGCAAGUCGAGCGAACGGACGAGAAGUUUGUUUCUCUGAUGUUAGCGGCGGACGGGUGAGUAACACGUGGAAACCCCACCUAUAAGACUGGGAUAACUUCGGGAAACCGUAGCUAACACCGGAUAAUAUUUUGAACCGUAUGGUUCAAAAGAGAAAGACGGUUUUGCUGUCACUUAUAGAUGGAUCCGCGCUGCAUUAGCUAGUUGGUAAGGUAACGGCUUACCAAGGCAACGAUGCAUAGCCAACCUAGGAGGGUGAUCGGCCACACUGGAACUGAGACACGGUCCAGACUCCUACGGGAGGCGGCAGUAGGGAAUCUUCCGCAGUGGGCGAAAGCCUGACGGAGCAACGCCGCGUGGGUGAUGAAGGUCUUCGAAUCGUAAAACUCUGUUAUUAGGGAAGAACAUAUGUGUAAGUAACUGUGCACAUCUUGACGGUACCUAAUCAGAAAGCCACGGCUAACUACGUG